UGCGUAGGUGGCCUUUUAAGUUGGAUGUGAAAUACCCGGGCUUAACCUGGGGGGUGCAUCUAAUACUGGGAGGCUAGAGUGCAGGAGAGGAAAGCGGAAUUCCUAGUGUAGCGGUGAAAUGCGUAGAUAUUAGGAGGAACACCAGUGGCGAAGGCGGCUUUCUGGACUGUAACUGACACUGAGGUGCGAAAGCGUGGGGAAGCAAACA
rnacentral:rRNA from 1 species